rnacentral:rRNA from 1 species
UAGGGAAUCUUCGGCAAUGGACGAAAGUCUGACCGAGCAACGCCGCGUGAGUGAAGAAGGUUUUUGGAUUGUAAAACUCUGUUGUUAGAGAAGAACAAGGACGUUAGUAACUGAACGUCCCCUGACGGUAUCUAACCAGAAAGCCACGGCUAACUACGUGCCAGCAGCCGCGGUAAUACGUAGGUGGCAAGCGUUGUCCGGAUUUAUUGGGCGUAAAGCGAGCGCAGGCGGUUUCUUAAGUCUGAUGUGAAAGCCCCCGGCUCAACCGGGGAGGGUCAUUGGAAACUGAGGGACUUGGGUGCAGAAGGGGGGGGUGGAAUUCCAUGUGUAGCGGUAAAAUGCGUAGAUAUAUGGGGGAAAACCAGUGGCGAAGGCGGCUCUCUGGUCUGUAACUGACGCUGAGGCUCGAAAGCGUGGGGGGCAAACAGG